rnacentral:rRNA from 1 species
AAAAUUAAUUUUAAAUUUAUUUAUAUCAACAGUAAUUGUAUACAGUACCUGCUUAAGUAGAUAAAUACAGUGUUUGUUAUAGUACCUGACUUUUCUUCUCUGUUUUACACUUUGCACUGUAGCUUAGGUGACUUUCUUCCUUCAUGUUAGAGGAUCCACUUCCAACGUCCAGCCCCACUACGAAAGCCCAAUUCCUCUCGCUCGCUCGCGGCGGCAGCCAGCGCCGCCCGCCGCCUUCGCCCUCGCUGCCUCGGCUGCUCUCACCGGCGUUUGUCAGCGCACAGGAAGCUCGCCCUUGGUACGCUUCUCCUGCUCGCUCGCCGCGGCCGCGGCCGUGGCCGCCGCCCACGACCGCGUUCCACAACGCCCGGCAGCUCGUCCUUCAAGCACGACUCGUCUGCUCGUUGAAAUGUGGAGGAGAUGUGGGCAGAGGAGGUUCUGAUGGAUGUGCUGCCAUAUAUGAUGAUUGAUCCGGUGCCUCGUCGCCGUCGUCCGGCUGCGCCAUGGUGCCACGUCGUCGCCUGCGAGAUGGAAUAGACAGAGAAGAUAC